rnacentral:rRNA from 1 species
CACGUAGGGGGCAAGCGUUGUCCGGAUUUAUUGGGCGUAAAGGGCUCGUAGGCGGUUCGACAAGUCGGGUGUGAAACCUCCAGGCUCAACCUGGAGUCGCCGCUCGAAACUGUUGUGACUAGAGUCCGGUAGAGGAGCAUGGAAUUUGUGGUGUAGCGGUGGAAUGCGCAGAUAUCAGGAAGAACACCCGUGGCGAAGGCGGCUCUCUGGGACGGUACUGACGCUGAGACGCGAAAGCGUGGGGAGCGAACAGG